UGGGGAAUAUUGCACAAUGGGCGCAAGCCUGAUGCAGCCAUGCCGCGUGUGUGAAGAAGGCCUUCGGGUUGUAAAGCACUUUCAGCGAGGAGGAAGGGUAGUGUGUUAAUAGCACAUUGCAUUGACGUUACUCGCAGAAGAAGCACCGGCUAACUCCGUGCCAGCAGCCGCGGUAAUACGGAGGGUGCAAGCGUUACUCGGAAUUACUGGGCGUAAAGCGCACGCAGGCGGUUUGUUAAGUCAGAUGUGAAAUCCCCGCGCUUAACGUGGGAACUGCAUUUGAAACUGGCAAGCUAGAGUCUUGUAGAGGGGGGUAGAAUUCCAGGUGUAGCGGUGAAAUGCGUAGAGAUCUGGAGGAAUACCGGUGGCGAAGGCGGCCCCCUGGACAAAGACUGACGCUCAGGUGCGAAAGCGUGGGGAGCAAACA
rnacentral:rRNA from 1 species